rnacentral:rRNA from 2 species
ACGGGAGGCAGCAGUGGGGGAUAUUGCGCAAUGGGGGAAACCCUGACGCAGCAACGCCGCGUGAAGGAUGACGGUCUUCGGAUUGUAAACUUCUGUUCUUAGGGAAGAAGACAGUGACGGUACCUAAGGAGCAAGUCACGGCUAACUACGUGCCAGCAGCCGCGGUAAUACGUAGGUGACAAGCGUUGUCCGGAUUUACUGGGUGUAAAGGGCGUGUAGGCGGGAUAUCAAGUCAGUCGUGAAAUACCGAGGCUUAACUUCGGGGCUGCGAUUGAAACUGAAAUUCUUGAGUGUCGGAGAGGAAAGCGGAAUUCCUAGUGUAGCGGUGAAAUGCGUAGAUAUUAGGAGGAACACCAGUGGCGAAGGCGGCUUUCUGGACGAUAACUGACGCUGAGACGCGAAAGUGUGGGGAGCAAACAGGAUUAGAUACCCUGGUA